rnacentral:rRNA from 1 species
GACGAACGCUGGCGGCAUGCUUAACACAUGCAAGUCGAACGGUAAGGCCCUUCGGGGUACACGAGUGGCGAACGGGUGAGUAACACGUGGGUGAUCUGCCCUGCACUUCGGGAUAAGCCUGGGAAACUGGGUCUAAUACCGGAUAGGACCACUGCCUGCAUGGGUGGUGGUGGAAAGCUUUUGCGGUGUGGGAUGGGCCCGCGGCCUAUCAGCUUGUUGGUGGGGUGAUGGCCUACCAAGGCGACGACGGGUAGCCGGCCUGAGAGGGUGACCGGCCACACUGGGACUGAGGUACGGCCAAGCCUCCUACGGGAGGCAGCAGUGGGGAAUAUUGCACAAUGGGCGCAAGCCUGAUGCAGCGACGCCGCGUGAGGGAUGACGGCCUUCGGGUUGUAAACCUCUUUCAGCACCGACGAAGCGCAAGUGACGGUAGGUGCAGAAGAAGGACCGGCCAACUACGUGCCAGCCGCCGCCGUAA